rnacentral:rRNA from 1 species
UACGGAGGAUCCAAGCGUUAUCCGGAUUCAUUGGGUUUAAAGGGUGCGUAGGCGGAAUGAUAAGUCAGCGGUGAAAUCCCUCGGCUUAACCGAGGAACUGCCGUUGAUACUGUCAAUCUUGAGUACAUUUGAUGUGGGCGGAAUGUGUCAUGUAGCGGUGAAAUGCUUAGAUAUGAACACAGAACACCGAUUGCGAAGGCAGCUCACAAAACUGUAACUGACGCUGAGGCACGAAAGCGUGGGUAUCAAACAGG